AACGAACGCUGGCGGCAGGCUUAACACAUGCAAGUCGAACGCCCCGCAAGGGGAGUGGCAGACGGGUGAGUAACGCGUGGGAAUCUACCUAGUUCUACGGAACAACAGUUGGAAACGACUGCUAAUACCGUAUACGCCCUAUGGGGGAAAGAUUUAUCGGAAUUAGAUGAGCCCGCGUAAGAUUAGCUAGUCGGUGGGGUAAUGGCCUACCAAGGCGACGAUCUUUAGCUGGUCUGAGAGGAUGAUCAGCCACACUGGGACUGAGACACGGCCCAGACUCCUACGGGAGGCAGCAGUGGGGAAUAUUGGACAAUGGGCGCAAGCCUGAUCCAGCCAUGCCGCGUGAGUGAUGAAGGCCUUAGGGUUGUAAAGCUCUUUCACCGAUGAAGAUAAUGACAGUAGUCGGAGAAGAAGCCCCGGCUAACUUCGUGCCAGCCGCCGCCGUAAUAC
rnacentral:rRNA from 1 species